rnacentral:rRNA from 1 species
AGAGUUUGAUUAUGGCUCAGGAUGAACGCUAGCGGCAGGCUUAACACAUGCAAGUCGAAGGGCAACGGGGAGAGUGCUUGCACUCUCUGCCGGCGACUGGCGCACGGGUGAGUAACACGUAUGCAACCUGCCCUCCACAGGGGGACAACCUUCCGAAAGGGAGGCUAAUCCCGCGUAUAUCCCUUGGGGGCAUCCUUGGGGGAGGAAAGGAUUACCGGUGGAGGAUGGGCAUGCGGCGCAUUAGGCAGUAGGCGGGGUAACGGCCCACCUAACCGACGAUGCGUAGGGGUUCUGAGAGGAAGGUCCCCCACACUGGUACUGAGACACGGACCAGACUCCUACGGGAGGCAGCAGUGAGGAAUAUUGGUCAAUGGGCGGGAGCCUGAACCAGCCAAGCCGCGUGAAGGAAGAAGGCGCCAAGCGUCGUAAACUUCUUUUGUCGGGGAACAAAGGGCGCCACGUGUGGCGUUGUGAGUGUACCCGAAGAAAAAGCAUCGGCUAACUCCGUGCCAACAGCCGCGGUAAUA